GAGGAGGACGACGUCCCUCCCGGGGAGAAGAGGCUGCGGCUGUUGCUGGAGGGGGGAAGAGCACAGCCCUAGGACUGCGAGGACGGGGAGGACGCGCCGCGGCCGGGCAGGGAGGAGACCGGCACCCAGACAGGUGGCGACGGCAGAGGAGAUUACUGUCCACAAACAAACAAACAGCACCAAAACUCCCAACAAUAAGAACAACAGAAAUCCCACCUAAGGCACCAAAGGCUUGGUGAGCAUGGAUGCAUGGCAAAACUGCCUCCUGAAGGCCAGAAGAAAGGAUUUCUCUCCUGUUUUCACCCACUCCCUGUGCCUCCUGACUGACCCCGGUGCUUCCCCCAUGGCUCUGCAGAUCUUGGUGUGCCCACUCCUCUUGGGAACUGAUGCCAAGGCCAGAAGUUCACCUUUGUGACCAAACUGGCUGAAACUGGUGAGAUGCAAGACGGCAGCUCACUUGACCUCCAAAGAACCUCUAACUUCAUUAUAAUAUAAUUUCCUUGCUAAAUGACACUCCCAUCAGUGUCAUGACAGUUGACAUUGCCAUGACAAUGGCCAGAAGAAACCAUAAAGGGACAAAAAGGAAGGUAGUAACUCUGGUUCCAAGGAGUUCUCCCAUUUCCAGAAAAGACAUGGAUAUUCCUCCCCUUGCUUUUAAUGCCCAACUUUUUCAUUAAAGAUGAAGCCUGUAUCUAUGGUUUCCCAGCUCUCAGGAGCUGAGAAGUUGAUUUGUGAGCCAAACUCCCACUUCUCAAUAAAGGCCGUCGAAUAAAGCAUGCACUGUUUCAUGCUUACUUUUGGGUUCGUGUAUUGGCUUCACAGCACAGAACAGGAAAAGGCUCCAUCUUCUGGGGGACAGGCUUUGUUGGUAACAAAAGGACUGGCCCAGAGUCAGAGUUAGGAAGUGAUAAAGCCAGGUGUCUGCC
rnacentral:lncRNA from 10 species